UAGGGAAUCUUGCGCAAUGGGCGAAAGCCUGACGCAGCAACGCCGCGUGGGGGAUGAAGGCCCUCGGGUUGUAAACCCCUUUCAGCAGGAACGAAUCUGACGGUACCUGCAGAAGAAGGCCCGGCUAACUACGUGCCAGCAGCCGCGGUAACACGUAGGGGCCAAGCGUUGUCCGGAUUCAUUGGGCGUAAAGAGCUCGUAGGCGGUUCAGUUAGUCGGGUGUGAAAUCUCCGGGCUCAACUCGGAGGGGCCACCCGAUACUGCUGUGACUCGAGUCCGGUAGGGGAGUGGGGAAUUCCUGGUGUAGCGGUGAAAUGCGCAGAUAUCAGGAGGAACACCGGUGGCGAAGGCGCCACUCUGGGCCGGUACUGACGCUGAGGAGCGAAAGCGUGGGGAGCAAACAGG
rnacentral:rRNA from 1 species